CUUUGGCAUUCCGAAGGGGCAUACCUGUUUGAGUAUCAUGAACACCUCAACUCUUCGUGGUUUUCCAUGAUGAGCUUGGACUUUGGGGGGUCUUGCUGGCCUUGUGGUCAGCUCCUCUAAAAUGAAUCAGCUUGCCGGUGUUUGGUGGGCAUCACAGGUGUGAUAACUAUCUACGCUUGCGGUUUUCCACCAGGUAACCUUCAGCAGUGGAGGUUCGCUGGAGCUCACAGACGUCUCUCCUCAGUGAGGACAGCUCUUUGAAUGUUUGAUCUCAAACCAGGUAGGACUACCCGCUGAACUUAAGCAUAUCAAUAAGCGGAGG
rnacentral:rRNA from 1 species